AGGGAGCUAGUCUAAGAAAGACCUUUGAUUUCGGCUCAAAAAAUUACGGUUAAAGUCCGUAGCCCCCUU